GCAGACAUGGUGUAACCGGUAACACGGCCUCGCCACUUAAGGAAAAGAGCGUGGUUCUACGAGGUAGCCGAGGGUUCGACUCCCUCUGUCUACA